CCGCCCCCUAUACGUCAUCAUUGAGUAAACUUUGACCCGGAACCUCACUGUCAGCAGACACUUCCUGGGAGGGAGGGUCUGCUGCUGAUUGGGUGGAAUGUGUCUGCUGGCUGUGAGGUUCCGGGUUGAAGUUUACUCAAUGAUGACGUAUAGGGGCGG
rnacentral:miRNA from 1 species